GACGAACGCUGGCGGCGUGCUUAACACAUGCAAGUCGAACGGAAAGGCCCUGCUUUUGUGGGGUGCUCGAGUGGCGAACGGGUGAGUAACACGUGAGUAACCUGCCCUUGACUUUGGGAUAACUUCAGGAAACUGGGGCUAAUACCGGAUAGGAGCUCCUGCUGCAUGGUGUGGGUUGGAAAGUUUCGGCGGUUGGGGAUGGACUCGCGGCUUAUCAGCUUGUUGGUGGGGUAGUGGCUUACCAAGGCUUUGACGGGUAGCCGGCCUGAGAGGGUGACCGGCCACAUGGGGACUGAGAUACGGCCCAGACUCCUACGGGACGCAGCAGUGGGGAAUAUUGCACAAUGGGCGGAAGCCUGAUGCAGCAGCGCCGCGUGCGGGAUGACGGCCUUCGGGUUAUAAACCGCUUUCGCCGGUGACGAGGCGUGAGUGACGGUAAUGGGUAAAGAAGCACCGGCUAACUACGUG
rnacentral:rRNA from 1 species